ACAUUCAGGAAUCAUUCGCUCUUCUCAAAUUUUCUACUAACCUGAAGUUCUUGCAACAAAUAUAGAUAUGAAUUGGACUUUCAGUAUUCAAUACCCAGGUAGUAGUAUCACGGAUAGAAAAAUUACGAGAUGUUAUCAUAUAAGUACCUUGUCUAGCAAUCAAUUAUUGAUUUCUCUUCCUAGGCCUGUUCGAAUCAAUGGAUGCUACGUAUAGAGGAUAACUCCUUAUCCAGUGCCCCAGCUUCUUACAAAACAAGCAUUCUGCUUGACUCUAGUUUGCUUUAGACUAGUUAGAUCGAUUGGGCUUAGAAACCCUAGCACGAUACCUCUACACC
rnacentral:lncRNA from 1 species